UACGUAGGUGACAAGCGUUGUCCGGAUUUACUGGGCGUAAGGAGCGCGCAGGCGGUCGUUCAAGUCGAGUGUGAAAGCCCCCGGCUCAACUGGGGAGGGUCACUCGAUACUGAUCGACUCGAAGGCAGGAGAGGGUAGUGGAAUUCCCGGUGUAGUGGUGAAAUGCGUAGAGAUCGGGAGGAACAUCAGUGGCGAAGGCGGCCAUCUGGGACAACACUGACGCUGAAGCACGAAAGCGUGGGGAGCAAACAGG
rnacentral:rRNA from 1 species